AGUGAUGGUCAAAUGAAGCUUAGCAAACCACUGUCUUUAUUUUCUGAGUUCACUAGAUGGCGCUCUCUGUUCAACAAAGGGUUAAAAACACCCUGAAUUGCCAUUCCUUUAACACUUGUAUUUAAACCAAAAUUGCCAU